CUAGACAACAUUAUAACUGCAAAGAUCUUUUAUUAAGGGCAACUCGAGCCAGCUACAAGGUGGGCCAGGGGCACUGAGCAGACUGCAACUCCCGCGUUCCCUCGGGGACAGUAGGAAGCGCUCUUCUUGGAAAAAACUGUUCUGAGGAAGGACCACGGCCGAGGUGUGCACGUAGGCGGUCCCCGUCUCCAUCCAGACCGGACUGGGGAAGACUUUCGCCGGUGCCCGGACAUCUGAAGAAGUUAACCGCUGCCGACAGUUUUCCAGGUCACGUGGCCAGCAUGACUAAACGGCUUCUGGUGCAACGGGACACCGUGACGAGUACCAGAGUACAUGGAAAUGAUGUUUACCUGCCUAUCUACUCACACAGG